GAUGAACGCUGGCGGCGUGCCUAAUACAUGCAAGUCGAGCGAACAGACGAGAGUGCUUGCACUCUCUGACGUUAGCGGCGGACGGGUGAGUAACACGUGGGUAACCUACCUAUAAGACUGGGAUAACUUCGGGAAACCGGAGCUAAUACCGGAUAAUAUUUAGCUUCGCAUGAAGCAAUAGUGAAAGACGGUUCUGCUGUCACUUAUAGAUGGACCCGCGGUGUAUUAGCUAGUUGGUGAGGUAACGGCUCACCAAGGCAACGAUAUAUAGCCGACCUGAGAGGGUGAUCGGCCACACUGGGACUGAGACACGGACCAGACUCCUACGGGAGGCAGCAGUAGGGAAUCUUCCGCAAUGGACGAAAGUCUGACGGAGCAAUGCCGCGUGAGUGAAGAAGGUUUUCGGAUCGUAAAACUCUGUUGUAAGGGAAGAACAAGUACGUUAGUAACUGAACGUACCUUGACGGUACCUUACCAGAAAGCCACGGCUAACUACGUG
rnacentral:rRNA from 1 species